rnacentral:rRNA from 1 species
UACCGGGCGACCGGAUGCGGAUCUCGAAAGCCUGUCCCAGUUCGGACUGGAGUCUGCAACCCGACUCCACGAAGUUGGACUCGCUAGUAAUCGCGCAUCAGCCAUGGCGCGGUGAAUACGUUCCCGGGCCUUGUACACACCGCCCGUCAAGCCAUGGGAGCCGGGGGCGCCUGAAGUCCGGGACCGCGAGGACCGGCCUAGGGCGAAACUGGUAACUGGGGCUAAGUCGUAACAAGGUACC